CAAGUCCACUGCGAUGAAGGAAUAGCGAACCGCAUCGACCCCGAGCCGUGCGCAGGCAUCCGUGAGGAUGUCGGCGAAGCGUCGGCAGGGGGACGUACAGGCCAGCCAUUGAGCCGCGAUAGGAUUUCUAUUCCGGGUGCCGACACCGUCACUUCUGUGGAAGGCAACAUCGACGGGUGCGUCAACGCAAGCGCCCGCUGGACCCGGCGUGGUCGUAGAACC
rnacentral:ncRNA from 4 species